CUCCCUCUUUACCUCUCUCUCCUCUCUCUCUCUCCUCUCUCUCUCCUCUUUCCCCUCUCUCAUCUUUCAUCUCUCUCUCUCUCUCUCUCCCUCUUUCCCAUCUCUCCUCUCUCUCUCUCUUUCUCCUCUCCCUCUCCCUCUCUCUCUUGCCUCUCUCUCGCCUUUCUCUCUCCCUCUCUCUCUUUCCCCUCUCUCAUCUCUCUCUCUCCCCUCUCCAGGCCAGGACUUUGUGGUUCCUAAGACAGGGUUCUUCUGUAAGUUGUGUUCUCUGUUCUACGGGAGUGAAGACAGAGCCAAGAAGACCCACUGCAGCACUCUGCAACACUAUCAGAACAUGCAGAAAUAUUACCUGAAGCGUCAGAAGCAACAAGCAGGAAGUUCUAGCCACGGCUCCGAAUGACCCCCUUGACCCUGCAUGUUUUCCAAUUGGCACCCUAUUCCCUAUAUAGUGCACUACUUUAGACCAGAGCCCUAUUCCCUAUAUAGUGCACUACUUUAGACCAGAGCCCUAUUCCCUACAUAGUGCACUACUUUAGACCAGAGCCCCAUAGUGCUCUGGUGGCAGGGUGCCAUUUGACUCCCAACUCAAUCAAUCUUUAUUUUCUCAUUUGUCUGUUUGAAACAACUGUAAGUCUGGUCAUAAUACUACACUAUAUUGGCUAACAGAGGAUCUGAGUAGAGGAGUGCUGAUCCAGGAUCAGUCCCCCCCCCCCCCCCAGUCCAUAUAGACUAGGAAAGACUUUGUGAAUAUGGGGUCCAAUGUGUAUCAAACAGUUUCAUAGUUUGACACACAUACAGAAACACACACACACGGCACAGGACAAUACAUUGGUGUCACAAGGGCAGCAGAACAACACCAUUCAUUAGUGCACACAAUACCAGUCUAAAGUUUUAGAACACCUACUCAUUCAAGGGUUUUUCUUUAUUUGUACUAUUUUCUACAUUGUAGAAUAAUAGUGAAGACAUCAAAACUAUGAAAUAACACACAUGGAAUCAUGUAGUAACCAAAACAAGUCCAAAUAUUUGAGAUUCUUCAAAAUAGUCACCUUUUGCCUAACAGAGGAUCUGAGUAGAGGAGUGCUGAUCCAGGAUCAGUCCCCCCCCCCCCCCCCCCCC